rnacentral:rRNA from 1 species
GACAUAGGUGGCAAACGUUAUCCGGUUUUAUUGGGCGUAAAGGAUGCGUAGAUGGUGGAAUAAGUUAUUAGUAGAAGUCAAGCUCAACUUGACAGAAGCUGGUAAUACUAUUCUACUUGAGGACAGGAGAGGUUAGCGGAAUUUUAUGUGUAGGGGUGAAAUCCGUUGAUCUAUAGAGGACCACCAAAAGGCGAAGGCAGCUAACUAUUCUGCUCCUGACAUUGAGGCAUGAAAGCGUGGGGAGCAAACCGG